AGUGAACGCUGGCGGUAGGCCUAACACAUGCAAGUCGAACGGCAGCACAGUAAGAGCUUGCUCUUACGGGUGGCGAGUGGCGGACGGGUGAGGAAUACAUCGGAAUCUACUUUUUCGUGGGGGAUAACGUAGGGAAACUUACGCUAAUACCGCAUACGACCUACGGGUGAAAGCAGGGGAUCUUCGGACCUUGCGCGAUUGAAUGAGCCGAUGUCGGAUUAGCUAGUUGGCGGGGUAAAGGCCCACCAAGGCGACGAUCCGUAGCUGGUCUGAGAGAAUGAUCAGCCACACUGGAACUGAGACACGGUCCAGACUCCUACGGGAGGCAGCAGUGGGGAAUAUUGGACAAUGGGCGCAAGCCUGAUCCAGCCAUACCGCGUGGGUGAAGAAGGCCUUCGGGUUGUAAAGCCCUUUUGUUGGGAAAGAAAAGCAGCAGGUUAAGACCCCGCUGUUCGGACGGUACCCAAAGAAUAAGCACCGGCUAACUUCGU
rnacentral:rRNA from 1 species